CGUCAUGUUGUUCUUUUAAAGGCCUCGAACACCCAGAGUCACAUCAGGACAGCACUGCAGAUCCUGCAGACCCUAACUCUUUCGUUAUGUCUGUAAAUGCAAUUUAUCAGCCAUCAGAUGUUUUGGCCAAUAAACAACAGAAACAGGGAAAUCCAGAGGACAAUGAGAAUGUUUAUCACCUGUACUCCACAAUCCUUGACAAACCAGUUCGCGCAGAAGAUCACGUGUACAGUUUGUUGAACAUGAACCAAUGAAUAUCAUCUGUGUUCAUUAUGUACAGCGAAUAUAAAUAAAGUUUAUAAAGCAGAAAAAA